rnacentral:rRNA from 1 species
UACGUAGGGUGCGAGCGUUGUCCGGAAUUAUUGGGCGUAAAGAGCUCGUAGGCGGUGUGUCACGUCGAUCGUGAAAACUUACAGCUUAACUGUGAGCGUGCGGUCGAUACGGGCAUCACUGGAGUUCGGCAGGGGAGACUGGAAUUCCUGGUGUAGCGGUGAAAUGCGCAGAGAUCGGAGGAACGACCGUACGCGAGGCGAGCGGCUCUGGGCCGGUACUGACGCUGAGGAGCGAAAGCCAGGGGAGCGAACGGG